AGGGAUUGGAUUCAACUGCGUCCGUGACUCCAGGCUGCCCCCCGCCAGAUGUCGCCGGUCGCCCGCGUGUCGAUUCACUUCGCUCGCGGUGUCGUUUCCGGCGUUCACUCGGCGGGGCGGUGUACCGCUCUGGGGUGGGAGCAGCGCACUUCCUCCCUAGUAGAAACGUCGCGACCCGUUGGGUGCCGGUCCAAGGCCCGGGCAGGCAGCCCGCGCGUCCCGCGGCUUAACCGUCGCGGUCGCGCGGACGUCCGGUGACCCGGCCGGCUGCCCGACGGUACGAUCAGAGGAGUAGAUCCGCUGUCAGAGAAGCACUUGGGUUGGUGCAGCGUCCGGCCCGGCGCCUUCGCGUGCGGGGAAGCCGACCCCCGGGUCGGUGCGGGUGCCCGUGCGGAUUCACGGCCCUGGCCCCGUCUCGCGUCGGACGUCCGGAGUCCUCGGACAGGAUCGGAACUCCCGUCGGCGACGCCCACCUUCGGAUGGUCUCCCG
rnacentral:rRNA from 1 species